GGGAAAAGUUGGAAAUUUCGGAAUUUCGUCAGAUUCGUCGUCAAUCUUUCGAAGGCGAUUUCUCGGUAUGUUUAGAUGCUGACGUGCAUUUUUGGGGAUGGAUCUGGGUAGUUGCACACACUACCUCCUCACAAUGUCGAUAGCUCACCCGGUGCUUAGAGGUUGUGCUUUUGAUGGUUUGUCGUUUGCUUGGUUCAUGUUGUGGUAUGACGCUGGUAGUGUCAUGACGGUUUCUUUAUAUAUGUUGGUUAUAUCA